CAUGGUUGUCGUCAGCUCGUGUCGUGAGAUGUGGGUUAAGUCCCGCAACGAGCGCAACCCUACUUGCUAGUUACCAUCAUUAAGUUGGGGGACUCUAGCGAGACUGCCAGUGAUAAACUGGAGGAAGGUGGGGGAUGACGUCAAAUCAUCAUGCCCCUUAUGACCUGGGCUACAAACGUGAUACAAUGGCUGGAACAAAGGGAUGCGAAGCAGUGAUGUGGAGCGAAACCCAUAAAAACAGUCUCAGUUCGGAUUGAAGUCUGCAACUCGACUUCAUGAAGUCGGAAUCGCUAGUAAUCGCGGAUCAGAACGCCGCGGUGAAUACGUUCUCGGGGUUU
rnacentral:rRNA from 1 species